AUUUCCUCUUGUUCAGCUUAGUGUUGCUGCUUACAAGAUCCGGUUGUCUGAGUGGCUGGGAUCGGAGUGGGACACUUGCUGCGGAUGUCUUGGUUGGAAAGGGGUCGAAGCGUGAGUCCGAGUGUAGGAGGACACGUCUUGCGGACCGAUGCAGUGUGUUGUGAAAGCCGAUAACAGUCGUGUCUAGGUAAUUGGGAUCUGUACAGAGCUCCCGGGGAUGCCGCACGGGAGCUCAGGGGGGGAGGAGGAGGAGGAGGAGGGGGAGGUGGUGAAUAAGAAACACUUGUGUGCAUGAUUGCUUCCGUUUUUGUUGUUUCCUUUGCUUCGAAUCAAUCCGUGAGGCGAGCGCUUGGUUUGUUUGCAUCGUACAAAACCGACUCGCGGGGAUUUUGUGGCGGUUCCUACAGCGAGUGAGGGAAUUAACCCGGGCAGUAGAGGUGUCAAAGCAGAAGCCAGAUUUCUCAAAAUGGACACUGCGAUACCGUGCUUGUAACAGAGAUUUUGGGUGUGUAGAAAAGGAAAUAGUGACACACAACUUCACCAUUACUCAUCGAUUACUAAGGAAUUUGGAACCAGAAAAGCAUAUUAUACGAAGGGAAAUAAAGAAACUGGACGCCCUGCAAGAGGAAUUGACAGUCGUUGAAAAUGAAGAAAGCACCAGGAAUUCGUGUAGGGAUAUUGAUGACUACGUGCAUGAUAUUCACCCCCUCGCUUCUGUUGAAGAUUAGAGAUGCCGGAUAGAUACGUGUUCGAUUUUGCCCUGUUCGGAAUUCGAGUUUUGGACAAUCCAAUCGGUGGUAAACAUUGGGAAUGAAAAUUGCAGGUUGAAGUAAACGUCGACCUUGACAACAAAGUCUUUUGCCAGCAGUUGUGUCUUUUUUGUCGAUUUGAAAGCUCCGUUGUGAUGAAGAGUGUGAAUGAAGUGUUCAACACUCAUUGGAGUUAGUAGCAGCAUAGGACCUUUUCCCCUCCACUAUAGUGCAGAGAAUGGGAGCGACGGAUCCCGAGGUAGUGCCCUUGAUUGCAACAUGCCCUUGAUCAGACAUGAGUUGCAGCAAGUAGGUCAUAGUUGUUGGAAAUGUACAUACAUAUAAUUAUACAUAAUUAUAUGUAUAAUUAUGUAAACAACUUACAAUUAUGACUUAUAAUUAUACAUAAUUAUAUGUAUAAUUAUAUAAACAACUUACAA